AGUGAACGCUGGCGGUAGGCCUAACACAUGCAAGUCGAACGGCAGCACAAGAGAGCUUGCUCUCUGGGUGGCGAGUGGCGGACGGGUGAGGAAUACAUCGGAAUCUACUCUGUCGUGGGGGAUAACGUAGGGAAACUUACGCUAAUACCGCAUACGACCUACGGGUGAAAGCAGGGGACCUUCGGGCCUUGCGCGAUUGAAUGAGCCGAUGUCGGAUGAGCUAGUUGGCGGGGUAAAGGCCCACCAAGGCGACGAUCCGUAGCUGGUCUGAGAGGAUGAUCAGCCACACUGGAACUGAGACACGGUCCAGACUCCUACGGGAGGCAGCAGUGGGGAAUAUUGGACAAUGGGCGCAAGCCUGAUCCAGCCAUACCGCGUGGGUGAAGAAGGCCUUCGGGUUGUAAAGCCCUUUUGUUGGGAAAGAAAUCCAGCUGGCUAAUACCCGGUUAGGAUGACGGUACCCAAAGAAUAAGCACCGGCUAACUUCGUGCCAGCAGCCGCGGUAA
rnacentral:rRNA from 1 species